rnacentral:rRNA from 1 species
GACGAACGCUGGCGGCGUGCUUAACACAUGCAAGUCGAACGGAAAGGCCCUGCUUUUGUGGGGUGCUCGAGUGGCGAACGGGUGAGUAACACGUGAGUAACCUGCCCUUGACUUUGGGAUAACUUCAGGAAACUGGGGCUAAUACCGGAUAGGAGCUCCUGCUGCAUGGUGGGGGUUGGAAAGUUUCGGCGGUUGGGGAUGGACUCGCGGCUUAUCAGCUUGUUGGUGGGGUAGUGGCUUACCAAGGCUUUGACGGGUAGCCGGCCUGAGAGGGUGACCGGGCACCAUGGGACGUAGGUACGGCCCCGACUUCUACGGGAGGCAGAAGGGGGGAAUAUUUCCAAAAGGGGCGAAGGCGGAGUCAACAACCGCCGGUUCGGGAAAACCGCCUUCGGGUUGUAAACCGCUUUCGCCUGUGACGAAGCGUGAGUGACGGUAAUGGGUAAAGAAGCACCGGCUAACUACGUG